CACGUAGGGCGCGAGCGUUGUCCGGAAUUAUUGGGCGUAAAGAGCUCGUAGGCGGCCUGUUGCGUCCGCUGUGAAAGCCCGGGGCUUAACCCCGGGUCGGCAGUGGAUACGGGCAGGCUAGAGGUAGGUAGGGGAGAAUGGAAUUCCCGGUGUAGCGGUGAAAUGCGUAGAGAUCGGGAGGAACACCAGUGGCGAAGGCGGCUACCUGGACCAGCACUGACACUGAGGCACGAAAGCGUGGGGAGCAAACAGG
rnacentral:rRNA from 1 species